CUUGAUAAAAUGACUAAGCCACCUUUUACUAGAAAAGAUGAACAAGUCAAUGAUAUUUUGAGUCUGAUACAUACUGAUGUAUUGGUUCUACGAAUAUGUUUGCCAUAAAUUUAGAUUAUUUGAAAUGUUCAAAUAAUUCUAUAAUAAGAUAGAGAAACAAACUAAAAAAAGUAUUGAAAUUCUUUGAUCAGACCAAGGAGGAG
rnacentral:lncRNA from 1 species